rnacentral:lncRNA from 1 species
GCGUUGCUGCCCCUCUGUUGGUCAUCAUGGAUCCCGGAUAGCGGCCAGCCUGAGAAGAAAGAAGAGUAGUUUGCAAUGGCGCAGGGGCGAUCAGAGCUGAUUAUUCUUUUCAAUUGUUUUGGCGUCGAAGUAUGCAUUUUUCUUGCCAUAAUUAUAAUACAGAAACAGAGAAGUUCAUGACAGGAGGAUUCCACCUGGAGAUCCAUGAUGAACCAAUUGUUGGAUUGUCAUGCAGGCAUGCCAAACUUUUUCAGAAGUCUAAUUUCCUCCUGGCUACUACUCUGAAAACUUUUGUUCAGCAAAAAAUAAAGAUGACCAAUAUUGUGGUUCUGGGAGUGAUGUGAGACGACAUAUUAUUAGCGUACUCGUGGAGCUUCCACAUGGACAACAGGAGCAGCAGAGGAAGAAAUCAGUUUGGAACCUUCUAUGGUUUAUGUUUGAAGUGGUAAUAAUGACCAAAAUAACUUUUAUUAUGGGCAAGCCAACAAAUGGAUAUAAUAUAUGAUUAAAAUUUGAUAUUAUAUCCAUGAUAGACAAUGCAGGAGGCUUUCAUUUACCAUUAGCGUUUGUGGAUUUUUUUUUUCCGGGAUUUUAUGGGUUAUAAUUUUGUUAAUUCUUGUUCUGUUUGAUUAGUUGAGGUUUGAAGAGUUUUAAAUCAGAGAUUCUUGGUUGUUUUUUAGAGUAGGGUUUAGUUUUUGGGGAAAGAAUUGGGCACAUCCAAUCCAAGUUAUAAGGUUAGCCUAGGAUGAUGAAAGUAGAAAGAUUGAAAUCAGAUCACAAUCUAAGAGGUGGCGGACUCUGGAGUGCUAAAAGUUCUUGACAAUCUAAGAGCGGAUUCCAUGACAUUCGACUGAAGUUAUGGAAUGCUAAUCCUUCUUUUCUCUCUCCCGCUUGCACCCCUUCCCUUCUCCUCCAACUCUUCUCCCACUGCCACUCUCUCUUGCACGCAUUCAUGAAAGCUUUAAAUGUAAAUUUGGAAUCUAAUCUUUUCCGAACUAUCCUAAAGGCUUGCAUGUAUAAGAUAUCUAAGUUUUUGCCUAACCUGCUAUGCUUGUACAAAACCCUAGAAUUCCCGGUAACCAUAUGGGUUUUAGCUUCAAUCAUUGAUUAGAAAAUAUUAGAAAAUCUAUCAUAACAUGAGAUGUAGUCGUUACCCCCUUCGGCCCGUGGCCUCGUCCCCCUCAGGGGGAUUUACUUAUUCGCGCACACAAUUUCGGUAGGCCAAUUGCUGUGCCGUAGGAAAAGAGAAGUAGAACUGCUCCCACCAAAUCGAUGACCCAACGGGGUGGUAUUCCAAGCGAUCGACCGAUACUGGCUCCAUACGGAUACAAAACACUGUAUGGAACCCGAACCUUGCAAACUUAGGUUCGGGAAACUUUAAAGAUUUCUGGGGAAGGGAGGUUAUUUGCUGGCUUUUGGUUAUAGAAGCAGUUAGAUUGACUUCAAAAAUACAUGUACUGUGCAUUAUGAGGCACCUAAUUAUAUAUGUAAUUAGUUCAAUCUGCUUUCUUCCCUAUUCCUCCUCCUUUCUUAAGACUUCGCUUUGGUCUUUUAUGUAAACUUUCUUCUACCGUUCCCCCUCCUUGUAAUCUUUGCUCUUCCCUGGACUCCUCCCUUUUCUCAAAAGAAAAUAAUAAUAAUAAUAAUAAUAAUAAGUACAUGGUACUGUUUUGCUUCACUUGAAUUCUUGCCUUGUCCCAUUCAUGUCCAAUUACAAUCCCUUAAAAAAAGUUGAAGAUCAUGGCUGAUUUUUUUAAUUGAAAACUAUUACAUGGUACAUGGUCCGAUUUUUUAAUCUAAUUAUAAGGAAUUUCUGCAACUGAUAUAUUUUUUUUCUACCAAGCUGUGACUUGAAUUUUUCUCUAGCAUGGCUGCAUGGCCAACUUGUGCACACAUCGUCCUAGAUGUAAAAAUUUAAUCACAAAGGACUAGAGCCACUCCCUGGGUCUUAAGACUCAAACUGCAGUACCUCAGAAAGGAGACAAGUAAUUAAGGUCCCCAAAGCUAAAGGCAUUUGUCCUCAUCAAUUGAAAGGGGNNNNNNNNNNNNNNNNNNNNNNNNNNNNNNNNNNNNNNNNNNNNNNNNNNNNNNNNNNNNNNNCCAUCUAGCAAUGGUACCCGACGUCCGGAUAGGCCGAAUAUAUGCGAAGCAAAUAUUCUGGAACCCUAAACUAUGGUUACUGUAUAAUUCAAUCCCUCUGACUCCUAAUGCCAGGAUGACUUAGAGCUCACUGUCAACCCUAUAAUUAGUACAUCCAUUAUGUGAUUAACUUUAGAUAUCCCGUGACUCCUCACUGGGAUUACCCUGGCCAAGGUUUUGCUAAAUUAAUCACAAGACAUUAUCUUCUGUUUUCAGAAGGGAUCAAUUCCAUCUUAACUCACAACUGACUACGCAAGUACUUGACUGCACCCAGUGACCUUCCGUCACUGAAUUAGAAAUUCAGGUAGUCCGGUACCAAAGUACAAUGAGUUGCUUGCUAGUCACAAGUUGCGGUCUCAGGUCAGAGGGCCAAACUUAUACCCAUAUCCACUCAGAACAUCUCUUGACAGUAGAGCGUUCCGGAAUUGGUCACGUUCAGUGAAAUGUACUCCUACACUUCACGUGUGUGGCAUACCAGUGUCUCCACACUCCUUGGUUAAAAGGACAACCAACGUAUAUGUCACACAACGACCUAAUCUUGAUAAUGUUGUCGUCCUUGUAACAACAUAUCAUUUGGUCGCGAACUAGUUUAAGGACUCGAAGAUAAAUCCUCCUUUAUCAUUAAUAAGUCCUAAGGACUUCAUCAUAUAAGAGUUCAUUUGAAGAUGUAAAAUGAUGAAUAAUGCCAAAUAAUACUUUAUUAAUUUGUCAAUUCAUUUACAAAAUUCAAUCAUCAAUAUGCUGACGAUUGACAUUUAGGAUAUAAUUCCCAACAACUCCCAGGAUCCUGUGCGAGAUCCCGUUCAUCACAAAUGAACGUAUUUUAAAAUCAUCGUUCGUAGAUAGAUUAGGAUUAAAUACUUUUACAUAAUAUUAGGAAGAUCAGAUCUUCACCUUGUGCGGGUAGAUAUUCACCGUAAUCUGAUGAUCGUGGUAUUUGUUGGAAGGUUCACUUGAAGCCGCACACGCGUCCGGUCUCUACGGAUAUCCACACGAGGCAGAGGACCAAUCCAAACUCUCUAAUCUCCCCGGGGUGCUAGCUCCCUUGCAGGGAUAUGUUUUGAUGGCUGAAAUUCUCUCUUUUGAAUCAACUCUUGAUUGCCUUAGAGAGGAGGAAGAAGGAUAGAUCAAAAGGAAGAAGGCAAAACCCCUUUGCAGUCUUUUCCUUUUUCUUUUCUUUUGGAACCAAAGAAGAGAGGGAGGAAGGGCUGCAUGCCUCCUU